UACGGGGGGGGCGAGCGUUGUUCGGAAUUACUGGGCGCAAAGGGUUCGUAGGUGGCUCGCUAAGUCAGACGUGAAAUCCCUCAGCUCAACUGGGGAAUGGCGUCUGAGACUGGCAAGCUUGAGUGCAGGAGAGGAACGCGGAAUUCCAGGUGUAGCGGUGAAAUGCGUAGAUAUCUGGAGGAACACCGGUGGCGAAGGCGGCGUUCUGGACUGCAACUGACACUGAUGAACGAAAGCCAGGGGAGCAAACGGG
rnacentral:rRNA from 1 species